UACGUAGGUGGCAAGCGUUAUCCGGAAUUAUUGGGCGUAAAGCGCGCGCAGGCGGUCCUUUAAGUCUGAUGUGAAAGCCCACGGCUCAACCGUGGAGGGUCAUUGGAAACUGGGGACUUGAGCGCAGAAGAGGAGAGCGGAAUUCCACGUGUAGCGGUGAAAUGCGUAGAGAUGUGGAGGAACACCAGUGGCGAAGGCGGCUCUCUGGUCUGUAACUGACGCUGAGGCGCGAAAGCGUGGGGAGCGAACAGG
rnacentral:rRNA from 1 species